rnacentral:tRNA from 2 species
GCCGCUGUGGCGAAAUUGGCAGACGCACUUGACUCAAAAUCAAGCGGAGUAAUCCGUGCCGGUUCAAGUCCGGCCAGCGGUACCA